rnacentral:tRNA from 1 species
GGGUAUACAGCUCAGUGGUAGAGCACGUGCUUAGCAUGCACAAGGUCCUGGGUUCAAUCCCCAGUACAUCCA